GGUUGUUAGAGCUCUCUGAUUUACUGCGUGUCCCCAUACUAAAGUAACCUCCAGCACUUCUGUGUGCAUGAGCCUAAACCUGCAAGGUUACCCAGCAUGUUUCUUGGUUCAUACAGAAGGGCAUGGACUGGAAGCAGGCUCUAAAAUCAACUAUACUUGCAAGAGCUCCCUAAGCAGACCACUGGAUAUUACCAAAAGUUAAGCAAGAUAAGGAG